UCGAUCGCUCGGGAAGCAGUUUUCGAAGUUGCCGCUCGGAGCGUCGUGCGCAUGCGCACGGCGCGGUGGCAACGUUUCUCGCGCGAGGUACGUCUCCAAACGUGUUCGAUCGUUUAUUGGGACGUCCGUUCUCGCGAACCGGCUCCGAACAAUCCGGUUUUGCCGAAUUUUCCGAAUGUGUUCGAGAGUUAGCGUCUCGUGGCCGCGAUGAACGCAGCGACGAGAACGCACGAGAGCGCGAUCCUGCCGACACGUGUUCGUGCCAUCGAUCGUCUCUGAAUUUUUCCCCUGGAAAUCGACCCUGGACACGAAAGAACGUGCAUUCGGCGACCGAAGGGGAGACCCGGUUUGCGCACCGCACCAUCAUCAGAGAUCAUCGCAUUUUCGCAGAGAGAAGAGAAAAGAGCGAACGAGAUAAAAACGUGAGAAGAGAUACGAGGCGAAAGAGACGAAGGAGAAGAAACAUCAAGAAGGGAAGCAGCCGAAGCGAACGGAAAAGAGAGAACAUACAUUGGACGAAGGGUGUGGCGCCCCCUUGCAGAGCCACGGCCCUGUGCGAAAUCCGCCGCUAGUCGCAGGAAGCUCGAGCGGUGAGCCGCGGAGAGAGAGGCGGGAGGACGAGGUAGAUUGGGAAGGACGUGGUUGGAGGGGGACCGUGGGGAGCUUCCGUUUAUCUGCGAGGUCGAGAAGGCUGGUCGAGAGCGUUCGUUCGUCGACAGUGCUGUUGAAAAACACGAUGAAAAUGGCGUGGCAACCGCAGGAGGAAGGACUCAGGCAAAUCCUCACGCUGCUCAAGGAGUCGCAGAGCCCGGACACAGCGACUCAACGGGCGGUGCAAUUAAAACUGGAAGAGCUGAAUAAAUUUCCAGAUUUCAACAAUUACCUAAUUUUUGUUUUAACGAAACUCACAUCGGAAGAUGAACCUACUAGGUCUCUGAGUGGACUGAUAUUGAAAAAUAAUGUGAAGACUCAUUUCCAUAAAAUUAUGCCAGAAGUCAUAACUUUCAUUAAGCAAGAAUGUCUGUUGGCUGUGGGAGAUCCAUCACCUCUGAUCCGUGCGACUGUUGGUAUUUUGAUCACUACUGUUGCAUCAAAAGGUGAACUGACCACUUGGCCAGAAUUAUUGCCAGCAUUGUGUCAAAUGUUGGAUUCAGAGGACUACAAUGUGUGCGAGGGAGCAUUCGGUGCUUUGCAGAAAAUAUGCGAAGACUCUACUGAAAUAUUAGAUUCGGAUGCCCUCAAUCGCCCUCUGAACAUCUUAAUUCCAAAAUUCCUCCAUUUCUUUAGACACUCGAGUCCGAAAAUUCGCUCCCAUGCGAUAGCAUGUGUCAAUCAGUUUAUCAUUCAACGUACGCAAGCGCUUAUGAUACAUAUAGACAGCUUCUUGGAGAAUCUCUUCCACUUAGCUUCGGACGAUGACUCUGAAGUCAGAAAGAAUGUGUGCAGGGCGCUAGUGAUGUUGCUGGAAGUGCGAAUUGAUAGACUAAUACCAAAUAUGCACUGUAUAAUAGAGUACAUGCUAAUGAGAACUCAGGAUGCCGACGAGGGAGUCGCAUUAGAAGCUUGUGAGUUUUGGUUGUCAUUGGCAGAGCAACAAAUCUGUAAAGAAGCUCUCGCACCACACCUGACACGACUAGUACCAAUCUUAGUGAGAGGUAUGAAGUACUCGGAAAUAGACAUAAUACUCCUCAAAGGGGACGUUGAGGAAGACGAAAUGAUACCAGACAGGGAGGAGGACAUCCGACCGAGAUUUCACAAAUCAAAGACGCAUCACUCGCAUCAUGCUAACAUGAACAAGCACAUCGAUGAGAACGGCGAUGACGAGGUAUUGGACGUCGAGGACGACGAUUCAACUCUUAGUGAUUGGAAUUUAAGGAAGUGCUCCGCCGCUGCAUUAGAUAUGCUAGCAAAUGUUUUCCGAGAAGAUUUGUUGCCGGUUCUUGUACCGAUCUUGAAGGAGACUCUUUUUCAUCAAUCUUGGGAAAUCAAAGAAUCUGGUAUUUUGGCGUUAGGGGCUAUUGCUGAAGGUUGUAUGAGCGGCAUGAUUCCUCAUUUGUCCGAGCUCAUCCCUUAUUUGAUUAGCUGCCUUAGCGACAAAAAGGCUCUCGUGCGUGCCAUAACUUGUUGGACAUUAAGUCGCUACGCGCAUUGGGUUUGCGCGCAGCCUCAUGAGACACAUCUGAAACCUUUGAUGACUGAAUUGCUCAAACGAGUUCUCGACAGCAAUAAGCGUGUCCAGGAAGCUGCAUGCUCUGCCUUCGCUACUUUAGAGGAAGAAGCCUGCACGGAAUUGGUUCCUUAUCUUGGAUUCAUUCUCCAAACGCUCGUCUUUGCCUUCGGUAAAUACCAACAUAAGAAUCUUUUAAUAUUGUACGACGCGAUUGGCACGCUCGCCGAUUCUGUUGGUCACCAUCUCAAUAAGCCGGAUUACAUCAAUCUUUUGAUGCCACCGCUCAUCAACAAGUGGAACGUACUGAAGGAUGAGGAUAAGGAUUUAUUCCCGUUGCUAGAAUGUUUGUCGUCAGUAGCAACCGCGUUGCGCUCGGGUUUCUUACCCUAUUGUGAACCUGUUUAUAGGCGGUGUGUGUCGCUGGUAGAACAGACGUUGAAUCAACACAUAGCAAGCACGCAGAGCCCCGACCAAUUCGAAGCACCCGAUAAGGAUUUUAUGAUUGUUGCAUUGGAUCUUCUGAGCGGAUUGGCAGAGGGUCUGGACGGUCACAUGGAACGUUUAGUGAUGAACAGUAACGUUAUGCAAUUGCUGUAUCAGUGCAUGCAAGAUACUAUGCCCGAAGUCAGACAAAGCAGCUUCGCCUUGUUAGGAGAUCUCACUAAGGCCUGCUUUCAACAUGUGCUCCCAUGUAUACCGGAAUUUAUGCCUAUUCUCGGACAAAAUUUGCAUCCACAGUUCAUAUCAGUAUGCAAUAACGCGACGUGGGCGAUCGGUGAAAUAUCGAUAAAACUUGGGCCUGACACAAGCGCGUAUAUUCCAUUAAUUUUGACACAACUUAUCGAAAUAAUUAAUCGACCAGAUACACCAAAAACACUGUUAGAAAAUACCGGUGCACUUCGUUGCGAAGCAUAAGAGAUAACGAAGAGAAGGAUUCCGCGUUCAGAGGUAUGUGUCAAAUGAUCACUGUCAAUCCGGCUGGCGUCGUCCCGGAUUUCAUCUUCUUCUGCGACGCUGUGGCGUCCUGGUCGACACCGAAGGAGGAUCUAAAGGACAUGUUUCAGAAGAUACUGCUCACAUUCAAGAAUCAAGUGGGUGCGGAAAACUGGAAACGUUUUGCCGAUCAGUUUCCACCGCAGCUUAACGAGCGGCUGCAUAAUAUGUACGGCGUCUGAGCAGCUCCGUCUAAAAGCG
rnacentral:misc_RNA from 1 species